GGGGGAGACCAGGGAGUGUGAACAGCCCCCUGGGGUGAACCUGCUGGGUUUCUCGCAAUCCGAUGCUGGAAGUUUUGAUUCAUAUUUUCCUGUGCUUCUUUUUUUUUUCUAGUCCUGGGCUUGAACUCUGGCC